UAAUACCUGCAGCUCAAGUAGUGACCGCUAUUAUUGGGCCUAAAACGUUCGUAGCCGGUUUGAUAAAUGCCUGGGUAAAUAGUGUAGCUUAACUAUACGAAUUCCGGGCAGACUGUUAAACUUGAGACCGGGAGAGGCUAGAGGUACUCCUGGGGUAGAGGUGAAAUUCUGUAAUCCUGAGGGGACCACCAGUGGCGAAGGCGUCUAGCUAGAACGGGUCUGACGGUGAGGAACGAAGCCCUGGGGCGCGAACCGGAUUAGAUACCCGGGUAGUCCCAGCCGUAAACGAUGCAGGCUAGGUGUUGGGUUGGCCAUGUGCCGACUCAGUGCCACAGGGAAGCCAUUAAGCCUGCUGCCUGGGGAGUACGGUCGCAAGGCUG
rnacentral:rRNA from 1 species